AUUGAACGCUGGCGGCAGGCCUAACACAUGCAAGUCGAGCGGAUGAAGGGAGCUUGCUCCUGGAUUCAGCGGCGGACGGGUGAGUAAUGCCUAGGAAUCUGCCUGGUAGUGGGGGAUAACGUCCGGAAACGGGCGCUAAUACCGCAUACGUCCUGAGGGAGAAAGUGGGGGAUCUUCGGACCUCACGCUAUCAGAUGAGCCUAGGUCGGAUUAGCUAGUUGGUGGGGUAAAGGCCUACCAAGGCGACGAUCCGUAACUGGUCUGAGAGGAUGAUCAGUCACACUGGAACUGAGACACGGUCCAGACUCCUACGGGAGGCAGCAGUGGGGAAUAUUAGACAAUGGGCGAAAGCCUGACCCAGCCAUGCCGCGUGUGUGAAGAAGGUCUUCGGAUUGUAAAGCACUUUAAGUUGGGAGGAAGGGCAGUAAGUUAAUACCUUGCUGUUUUGACGUUACCAACAGAAUAAGCACCGGCUAACUUCGUG
rnacentral:rRNA from 1 species